AGAAUGAACGCUGGCGGCGUGCUUAACACAUGCAAGUCGAACGGAAUCCAAGGAGCUUGCUCUGGAAGAUUUAGUGGCGAACGGGUGAGUAUCACGUGAGCAACCUGCCCCGAAGACUGGGAUAACACCGGGAAACCGGUGCUAAUACCGGAUACCUUCCAAUGACCGCAUGGUCGAUGGAAGAAAUGUUUUUCGCUUCGGGAGGGGCUCGCGGUCCAUCAGCUUGUUGGCGGGGUAACGGCCCACCAAGGCUUCGACGGAUAGCUGGUCUGAGAGGACGAUCAGCCACACUGGAACUGAGACACGGUCCAGACUCCUACGGGAGGCAGCAGUGGGGAAUCUUGCGCAAUGGACGAAAGUCUGACGCAGCAACGCCGCGUGAGGGACGAAGGUUUUCUGAAUUGUAAACCUCUUUCGACAGGGACAUAAUGACGGUACCUGUAGAAGAAGCACCGGCCAACUAUGUGCCAGCAGCCGCGGU
rnacentral:rRNA from 1 species